AAAGAACUGUAGGGACUACAGGGAUAGCCUAGGGCAUAUAAGAUAGAUAUAGCGUUUAUUCGAUCAUUUAUCUUUUUCUAGGAAAUUACUAGUUUGACUAGUGAUAGUUCACUAAUUAUUAGUU
rnacentral:ncRNA from 1 species